rnacentral:rRNA from 1 species
GACGAACGCUGGCGGCGUGCCUAACACAUGCAAGUCGAACGGACAGGCCCUGCUUUUGUUGGGUUCUCGUGAGGCGCACAGGUGAGUAAAACGUGUGGAAACCCUCCCUAUAAUUCUGGUAUAACUUCGGAAAACGGGAGCUAAUCCCGGAUAAUCUCUUGAACCGCGUGGUGCAUUAGUAAAAUUUGGUGGUGGGGGCAGUUGUAGAUGGACUCGCGCCUCAUUGGCUUGUUGGUGAGUUAGUGGCUUACCAAGGCUAUGACGGGUAGCCGGCCUGAGAGGGUGACCGGCCACAUUGGGACUGAGAUACGGCCCAGACUCCUACGGGAGGCAGCAGUGGGGAAUAUUGCACAAUGGGCGGAAGCCUGAUGCAGCAACGCCGCGUGCGGGAUGACGGCCUUCGGGUUGUAAACCGCUUUCGCCUGUGACGAAGCGUGAGUGACGGUAAUGGGUAAAGAAGCACCGGCUAACUACGUG